UACGUAGGGGGCAAGCGUUGUCCGGAAUCAUUGGGCGUAAAGAGCGCGUAGGCGGUCCGGUAAGUCCGCUCUGAAAGUCACAGGCUCAACCUGUGAAAGCGGGUGGAUACUGCCGGGCUAGAGUCCGGAAGAGGCGAGUGGAAUUCCUGGUGUAGCGGUGGAAUGCGCAGAUAUCAGGAGGAACACCAACGGCGAAGGCAGCUCGCUGGGACGGUACUGACACUGAGGCGCGAAAGCGUGGGGAGCGAACAGG
rnacentral:rRNA from 1 species